UACGUAGGGUGCGAGCGUUAAUCGGAAUUACUGGGCGUAAAGUGGGCGCAGGCGGCGUUGCAGUCGAGUGUGAAAUCCCCGAGCUUAACUUGGGAAUUGCGCUCGAAACUACGAUGCUCGAGUGUGGCAGAGGAAGGUGGAAUUCCACGUGUAGCGGUGAAAUGCGUAGAGAUGUGGAGGAACACCGAUGGCGAAGGCAGCCUUCUGGGCCAACACUGACGCUCAUGCACGAAAGCGUGGGGAGCAAACAGG
rnacentral:rRNA from 1 species